AGUGAACGCUGGCGGUAGGCCUAACACAUGCCAGUCGAACGGCAGCACAGUAAGAGCUUGCUCUUACGGGUGGCGAGUGGCGGACGGGUGAGGAAUACAUCGGAAUCUACUUUUUCGUGGGGGAUAACGUAGGGAAACUUACGCUAAUACCGCAUACGACCUACGGGUGAAAGCAGGGGAUCUUCGGACCUUGCGCGAUUGAAUGAGCCGAUGUCGGAUUAGCUAGUUGGCGGGGUAGGGCCCACCAAGGCGACGAUCCGUAGCUGGUCUGAGAGGAUGAUCAGCCACACUGGAACUGAGACACGGUCCAGACUCCUACGGGAGGCAGCAGUGGGGAAUAUUGGACAAUGGGCGCAAGCCUGAUCCAGCCAUACCGCGUGGGUGAAGAAGGCCUUCGGGUUGUAAAGCCCUUUUGUUGGGAAAGAAAAGCAGCAGGUUAAUACCCCGCUGUUCUGACGGUACCCAAAGAAUAAGCACCGGCUAACUUCGUG
rnacentral:rRNA from 1 species